UACGAAGGGGGCUAGCGUUGCUCGGAAUCACUGGGCGUAAAGGGUGCGUAGGCGGGUCUUUAAGUCAGAGGUGAAAUCCUGGAGCUCAACUCCAGAACUGCCUUUGAUACUGAGGGUCUUGAGUAUGACAGAGGUGAGUGGAACUGCGAGUGUAGAGGUGAAAUUCGUAGAUAUUCGCAAGAACACCAGUGGCGAAGGCGGCUCACUGGGUCAUUACUGACGCUGAGGCACGAAAGCGUGGGGAGCAAACAGGG
rnacentral:rRNA from 1 species